AUACGUAGGGGGCGAGCGUUGUCCGGAAUGAUUGGGCGUAAAGGGCGCGUAGGCGGCCCGGUAAGUCUGGAGUGAAAGUCCUGUUUUUAAGAUGGGAAUUGCUUUGGAUACUGUCGGGCUUGAGUGCAGGAGAGGUAAGUGGAAUUCCCAGUGUAGCGGUGAAAUGCGUAGAGAUUGGGAGGAACACCAGUGGCGAAGGCGACUUACUGGACUGUAACUGACGCUGAGGCGCGAAAGUGUGGGGAGCAAACAGGAUUAGAUACCCUGGUAGUCCACACUGUAAACGAUGAAUGCUAGGUGUAGGGGGUAUCGACCCCUUCUGUGCCGCAGUCAACACAAUAAGCAUUCCGCCUGGGAGUACGGCCGCAAGGUUGAAACUCAAAUGAAUUGACGGGG
rnacentral:rRNA from 1 species